rnacentral:rRNA from 1 species
GAUGAACGCUGGCGGCGUGCCUAAUACAUGCAAGUCGAGCGAACAGACGAGGAGCUUGCUCCUUCGACGUUAGCGGCGGACGGGUGAGUAACACGUAGGUAACCUACCUAUAAGACUGGGAUAACUUCGGGAAACCGGAGCUAAUACCGGAUAAUACUUCGAACCGCAUGGUUCGAUAGUGAAAGAUGGCUUUGCUAUCACUUAUAGAUGGACCUGCGCCGUAUUAGCUAGUUGGUAAGGUAACGGCUUACCAAGGCAACGAUACGUAGCCGACCUGAGAGGGUGAUCGGCCACACUGGAACUGAGACACGGUCCAGACGCCUACGGGAGGCAGCAGUAGGGAAUCUUCCGCAAUGGGCGAAAGCCUGACGGAGCAACGCCGCGUGAGUGAUGAAGGUCUUCGGAUCGUAAAACUCUGUUAUUAGGGAAGAACAAACGUGUAAGUAACUGUGCACGUCUUGACGGUACCUAAUCAGAAAGCCACGGCUAACUACGUG